GACGAACGCUGGCGGCGUGCCUAAUACAUGCAAGUUGAGCGAUGAAGAUUGGUGCUUGCACCAAUUUGAAGAGCAGCGAACGGGUGAGUAACGCGUGGGGAAUCUGCCUUUGAGCGGGGGACAACAUUUGGAAACGAAUGCUAAUACCGCAUAACAACUUUAAACAUAAGUUUUAAGUUUGAAAGAUGCAAUUGCAUCACUCAAAGAUGAUCCCGCGUUGUAUUAGCUAGUUGGUGAGGUAAAGGCUCACCAAGGCGAUGAUACAUAGCCGACCUGAGAGGGUGGUCGGCCACAUUGGGACUGAGACACGGCCCAAACUCCUACGGGAGGCAGCAGUAGGGAAUCGUCGGCAAUGGACGAAAGUCUGACCGAGCAACGCCGCGUGAGGGAAGAAGGUUUUCGGAUCGUAAAACUCUGUUGGUAGAGAAGAACGUUGGUGAGAGUGGAAAGCUCAUCAAGUGACGGUAACUACCCAGAAAGGGACGGCUAACUACGUG
rnacentral:rRNA from 1 species